AGUGAACGCUGGCGGUAGGCCUAACACAUGCAAGUCGAACGGCAGCACAGUAAGAGCUUGCUCUUACGGGUGGCGAGUGGCGGACGGGUGAGGAAUACAUCGGAAUCUACUUUUUCGUGGGUGAUAACGUAGGGAAACUUACGCUAAUACCGCAUACGACCUACGGGUGAAAGCAGGGGAUCUUCGGACCUUGCGCGAUUGAAUGAGCCGAAGUCGGAUUAGCUAGUUGGCGGGGUAAAGGCCCACCAAGGCGACGAUCCGUAGCUGGUCUGAGAGGGUGAUUCGCCACACUGGAACUGAGACACGGUCCCGACUCCUGCGCGAGGCCGCAGUGGGGACUAUUGCACAAUGGGCGCAAGCCUGAUCCAGCCAUACCGCGUGGGUGCAGAAGGCCUUCGGGUUGUAAAGCCCUUUUGUUGGGAAAGAAAAGCAGCAGGUUAAUACCCCGCUGUUCUGACGGUACCCAAAGAAUAAGCCCCGGCUAACUUCGUG
rnacentral:rRNA from 1 species